GGGGAGGGGAUUAAGGAGCUUGUAGAGGAAGGAGGGUACACAGCUCUCUCAAUUUCCAUUGACUUUUGGCGUCUUUAUAAGUGCCCUGGCAGACAGGUGGCUCCAUCAACACUCCCACCUUCUCCUCAAGAAACCUCAGCAAUAUUUCUUUAGCAAAAUGAAGUUCCCAGUUCUUCUCCUCCUGACUACUCUGGCUGGAGUUCUCAUGGGUGUCGCUGGACAGGCUUCUACUUCACUAGCCCCAGAGACCACAGCCUCAGCAGAGACCACAGCCUCAGCAGAGACCACAGCCUCAGCAGAGACCACAGCCUCAGCAGAGACCACAGCCUCAGCAGAGACCACAGCCUCAGCAGAGACAACAGGCUCAGCAGAGACAACGGCCCCACAGACAACUGCCUCACAGACCACAACUUCACCUUCCCAACAGUCAACAACAUCUACCACUAGACAUCUUACCGACAAAAUUUUCCCCGGAGGCAGGAAGAAAUGAACCUGUAGCAAUCAUUCUUUAAAAGAAUUCCUUAAAGGAAAUCAUUGAAAAAAUAUUUAUAUCAAUCUAAACUAUUAAAUCAGAGCAUCA
rnacentral:lncRNA from 1 species